rnacentral:rRNA from 1 species
ACGGGUGAGUAACGCGUGGAUAACCUGCCGUAUACAGGGGGAUAACACUUAGAAAUAGGUGCUAAUACCGCAUAAGCGCACGGAUCCGCAUGGAACAGUGUGAAAAACUCCGGUGGUAUACGAUGGAUCCGCGUCUGAUUAGCCAGUUGGCGGGGUAACGGCCCACCAAAGCGACGAUCAGUAGCCGGCCUGAGAGGGUGAACGGCCACAUUGGGACUGAGACACGGCCCAAACUCCUACGGGAGGCAGCAGUGGGGAAUAUUGCACAAUGGGGGAAACCCUGAUGCAGCGACGCCGCGUGAGUGAAGAAGUAUCUCGGUACGUAAAGCUCUAUCAGCAGGGAAGAAAAUGACGGUACCUGAUUAAGAAGCCCCGGCUAACUACGUGCCAGCAGCCGCGGUAAUACGUAGGGGGCAAGCGUUAUCCGGAUUUACUGGGUGUAAAGGGAGCGUAGACGGCAGCGCAAGUCUGGAGUGAAAUGCCGGGGCCCAACCCCGGAACUGCUUUGGAAACUGUGCAGCUCGAGUGCAGGAGAGGUAAGCGGAAUUCCUAGUGUAGCGGUGAAAUGCGUAGAUAUUAGGAGGAACACCAGUGGCGAAGGCGGCUUACUGGACUGUAACUGACGUUGAGGCUCGAAAGCGUGGGGAGCAAACAGGAUUAGAUACCCUGGUAGUCCACGCCGUAAACGAUGAUUACUAGGUGUCGGGGGGCCAAGGCCCUCCGGUGCCGGCGCAAACG